GACGAACGCUGGCGGCGUGCUUAACACAUGCAAGUCGAACGGAAAGGCCCUGCUUUUGUGGGGUGCUCGAGUGGCGAACGGGUGAGUAACACGUGAGUAACCUGCCCUUGACUUUGGGAUAAAUUCAGGAAACUGGGGCUAAUACCGGGUAUGAGCUCCUGCUGCAUGGGGGGGGUUGGAAAGAUUCGGCGGUUGGGGAUGGACUCGCGGCUUAUCAGCUUGUUGGUGGGGUAGUGGCUUACCAAGGCUUUGACGGGUAGCCGGCCUGAGAGGGUGACCGGCCACAUUGGGACUGAGAUACGGCCCAGACUCCUACGGGAGGCAGCAGUGGGGAAUAUUGCACAAUGGGCGGAAGCCUGAUGCAGCAACGCCGCGUGCGGGAUGACGGCCUUCGGGUUGUAAACCGCUUUCGCCGGUGACGAAGCGUGAGUGACGGUAAUGGGUAAAGAAGCACCGGCUAACUACGUG
rnacentral:rRNA from 1 species